CAGGGAGAGGAGGAGGAGGAGGAGGAAGAGCCCCCGCCCCCCCCGGACAAGGGAGAGGCCCCCGACCCCACGGCCUCCAUGCUGGCUGACUUCAUCGACUGCCCCCCCGACGCCGCCCCGUGACCCCGCCGGGACCCCCCCCAACCUCAGAGCCCCCCCAGAGCCCCUCCCCUGCCCCUCACCAGACCCCGACCCCCCCAGAACAAAAUAAAGUUUCUAGAACCUUC